rnacentral:rRNA from 1 species
UACGUAGGGUGCAAGCGUUAAUCGGAAUUACUGGGCGUAAAGCGUGCGCAGGCGGUUGUGCAAGACAGAUGUGAAAUCCCCGGGCUUAACCUGGGAAUUGCAUUUGUGACUGCACGGCUAGAGUGUGUCAGAGGGGGGUAGAAUUCCACGUGUAGCAGUGAAAUGCGUAGAUAUGUGGAGGAAUACCGAUGGCGAAGGCAGCCCCCUGGGCUAGCACUGACGCUCAGGCACGAAAGCGUGGGGAGCAAACAGG